UGACUGAACCCAUAAGUAGGGCGUUAA
rnacentral:sRNA from 1 species